AUUGAACGCUGGCGGAAGGCCUAACACAUGCAAGUCGAACGAGAGGCGGAAGGGUGAGUAAUAUCUGGGAACCUGCCUGAUGGAGGUGGGUAACUACUGGAAACGGUAGUUACUAAUGCAUAACCAAAGAUAUGCCCAGAUGGGAUUAGCUAGUAGGUGGGGUAACGUCUCACCUAGGCGACGAUCCCUGGCUGGUCUGGGAGGAUGACCAGCCACACUGGAACGGAGACACGGUCCAGACUCCUACGGGAGUCAGCAGUGGGGAAUAUUGCACAAUGGGCGCAAGCCUGAUGCAGCCAUGCCGCGUGUGUGAAGAAGGCCUUCGGGUUGUAAAGCACUUUCAGCGGGGGGGCGUUACCCGCAGAAGAAGCACCGGCUAACUCCGUGCCAGCAGCCGCGGUAAUUC
rnacentral:rRNA from 1 species